CCGGGAUGUUCAUAACCCUUUGUUGUCCGACUCUGUUGCCUCCGGGGCGACCCUGCCUUCGGGCGGGGGCUCCGGGUGGACACUUCAAACUCUUGCGUAACUUUGCAGUCUGAGUAAACUUAAUUAAUAAAUUAAAACUUUUAACAACGGAUCUCUUGGUUCUGGCAUCGAUGAAGAACGCAGCGAAAUGCGAUAAGUAAUGUGAAUUGCAGAAUUCAGUGAAUCAUCGAAUCUUUGAACGCACAUUGCGCCCCCUGGUAUUCCGGGGGGCAUGCCUGUUCGAGCGUCAUUUCACCACUCAAGCCUCGCUUGGUAUUGGGCAACGCGGUCCGCCGCGUGCCUCAAAUCGACCGGCUGGGUCUUCUGUCCCCUAAGCGUUGUGGAAACUAUUCGCUAAAGGGUGUUCGGGAGGCUACGCCGUAAAACAACCCCAUUUCUAAGGUUGACCUCGGAUCAGGUAGGGAUACCCGCUGAACUUAAGCAUAUCAAUA
rnacentral:rRNA from 1 species